UGCAUAAACACAUUUGAUCCCUUCUCUUUUGAUUGUUAUUACCGCAACACAAUAUAUGUUUCAUCUCUUAUAGCUUUAUUCGGCAAUAGUUCAACCAUGGCAUCCUUCUCUUUCUCAUCCGUUAUGCUACCACUUUUGCUAAUCGCUUUAUCGUCAAUGAGCUUUAACAUUGAUUUGAUCGCUGCUCGCCAUCUUCUAGAGGCAACAGUUCCAGAAAUACCCAAGCCUGAAUUGCCUAAGGUUGAAUUGCCACCGUUACCAAAACCUGAACUACCACAAAUUCCAAAGCCUGAAUUACCUGAGAUUCCAAAGCCUGAGCUACCUAGAAAACCUGAAUUACCAGAGAUUCCAAAGCCUGAGUUGCCAAAAGAACCUGAAUUGCCAGAGAUUCCGAAACCUGAGGUGCCAAAAGAGCCUGAAGUACCUGAACUUCCAAAGCCUGAGUUGCCCAAAGUGCCUGAGGUGCCAAAAGAGCCCGAAGUACCUGAACAUCCGAAGCCUGAGUUGCCCAAAGUGCCUGAGGUGCCAAAAGAGCCUGAAGUACCUGAACAUCCGAAGCCUGAGUUGCCCAAAGUGCCUGAGGUGCCAAAAGAGCCCGAAGUACCUGAACAUCCGAAGCCUGAGUUGCCCAAAGUGCCUGAGCUGCCAAAGGAGCCCGAAGUACCUGAACUUCCAAAGCCUGAGUUGCCCAAAGUGCCUGAGGUGCCGAAAGAGCCCGAAUUGCCUUCUCUGCCUCAUCUACCUGAGCUUCCUAAGCCCACAUUUCCCGCCAUCCCGAGUCUUCCCAAGGAGAUCCCAACUCACUCGACCACCAAUCCUUAAAUUUCAUCUUCUCCAAAUGCUUUCUCGAGCUUCAUCUGGAUGUAUACUAAUAAAUUAUAUUUGUUGGUUCUUGUUUUGAGACUUUCCAAAUUUGUGUGUUUUCACUCUUGAGGAGUUUUUUGUUAUUGUUUUUAAGUCUGGGAUACGACUCGCGAUGAGCUCCGCUCCACAGGAGUACUGUUGUAUUCAUUUUUACAUAAUCUAUUGAGUGAUAUUUAUUGUACUUUUAGGUUUAGCAGUCUGAUUUGAGGUUUCUGAUUUUAUGUGCUCUAUGACAUAUAUUACAUUUUAUCUUCAUUUUGACUUUAGUCGAAAACGUAUAGCAAAAUAAAAGAGACAUUUCAUAUCUCUGCAGGGUUCAAGCUCUACGUUCACUAAACAAACAUCAGCAUCGCAGCAGCAUUGAUAUAUAUAUAUAUAUAUAUACGUAAAAUGAACUAGGGCACUGUCUCCUUGUCUAAGGUUUAAAAUGAUGAUGAUUGCUGUGUCACAUCGAUUAAAUUGGUAUUUAAUUUUUUAUGAGUUUAAAAUGUACAGCAAAAUAAAUUAAAGAGACAUCUUUUUGUUUUGUGUAUUGCCGAACGUUUCAGCAUUCGAAGCUAGAAACACCUAAACAAACUUCAGCACCGCAGCGACAGUGAUAUUUUAGUAAAAUAAACUAGGACGACCCUUUAUCUGAUCAUUAAGGGGAGAAAAAUCAGAUUUAUUUGCUCCCUUUGACCACAUAGUCGGUUAUGAUUUUGUCCAACAACAAACCGUGAAGAGCUACGUGCCCAAAAUAGGAAUGUUUACGCGACUUUUAGACUACAGCUAUCACUAAUGUUUAAUAUGAAACUAAUCCAUCCUGAACUACAUUGACAACUUUUGUAAAUGGUUUUUUGCAGAAUAAAUAUUCUCAUUUGAGACGAAAUAUCCCCAUUACACAAGGUCCAUAAAAAAAAUGAUUAAAUUACAGAGAGAGUUACAAAAAAAAAAGAAUAAAUUAUAGAAAGAGCUUACAUUGAUACCAGAUAAGGACAGAAGUUAGUAACUCAAUUGAUCAAUUCUAACAAGGAACAUGAAAAAAGGAGCAAAAGUGAAUUAUAUAAAACUAGCUAGUAUUAAUAUUAAAAAACAAAGUAAUAAUAAAAUGAAAUUAAUUAUUUUAGGCUCAAGUUCUAGCACUUGACACGUGAUUUUUGUGUCUGAUUUUUUUAAGUACACACAUGUGCAUUUGAUUAUCCUGAUUUGAGCUUUUUGUUGGGAAAAAUCGUGUGGGUGAAGUAGACACGCAAUUAAAAUGAAAUUGAAAAAUAAUGAUCAUAUAGGGACACCAAAAUUUACGUGGUUAAACUUUUAGCCUACGUCUAUGGGCAAGGGCAGAAGGAAAUAUUUUACUAGUGAAAAGGAGUUACAAGUGUUGUAGUGUUUUGUCUCAUAACCCAAAACCCCAAUAUACCCAAACUCUAAAAAAACAAUAGAACUAGAGCUCAAAGCUCUCAACACUCUCAACUUGCGCCUCUUGGCACUCUCACUUGAAUUGGGGAAAAUGGCAUGAUUGGAGGGUAAAUGAAGCCACUAUUUAUAGGUCAGGCAAUGCCCAAAAAUCAACAAUGCUAAUAAUAUAAAAUUUCUCUCAACUUCCACUUUGGUUCGACUUGCGCUUUGUAUUCUUUCAACACUGGAAAUGCAUCUGACUUUUUCUUGAUUCGAUACUCCUAACAUCGCCUGGACUAUUCAUCAAUGAAAGUCACCACGUACUUUGAACCUCCCAAGGACUUAUCCGGCAAUUCCCAAACAUCAGAAUGAACCAAAUCUAGAAUGCAUUUAGUUAUGGUGUCAGAUCUGGUGAACUUUAAUCUAUGUUGCCUACUUGUAACACAAUGCUCACAAAGCGAUAAGUUUACCUAUUUAAGCCCUGAAAGCAACUUCUGCCCAAAGAGAAUCUUCAAACCUUGUUUCGACAUGUAGCCAAGUUUAAGAUGCUACAUCAUCGCCAAUUAUUCUCUCUUUGACGCAACACGAGCAUUAUCUUCUUGCAGUGUUUCCCCUUUAAGCAUGAAUAAAUUAGCACUGAUCUUUCCGCCUUCAGCAAUACAAACGUACUUCCGACAAUCUUCGUGAUCCCAUUUUCCACCUAAGUUUUACAACCAAGACUGUCUAUUUGUCCUAAAGACAAUAGAUUUUUUUUUCAUGCCUUUGAUAUGACAUACCUCCUUAAUAGUGCAAACUAUACCAUCAAACAUUUUUAUUUUGAUAGAACCAACACUAGCAAUCUCCAAGGUAUGAUCAUCACCCAUACAUACAGAUCCUCCUAAGAUAGGAUUAUAUUUGUGGAACUAUUCUCUUUGAGAGGUCAUGUGCCAGUAGCUCUUAAGUCUAUAAGCCAGACGUCAGAUAGUUUUUUUCUGCUUUCUUCAACCAUAAUUGCCUCGUUGUAUAAAAUGUCACCAUUAUCUGAGGUACUUACUACACACCCCUAAGUAUUUGAUGACUCAGGAUCUUUACCCUCUCUUCUCUUCUGUUAACUCCAAUACUCUUUCUUGACAUGUCCUAUUUUGGCACAUUUGUAGCAUCUGAUUUUCUUCUUACUUCUUGACUUUGAUCUACAAUGAUUGUGACUCCUACUAGGACCACGUUCCGCUAAUCUCCCUUUCACCAUCGUUAGUGCUUCUGCUUACAGCGAACUUGCUUACCUGUCGUCAUAGUUCUUGCACCUACUCUCUUAUUAAAAUGGAGAGGCUGCAACAUCAUCAAAAACUAAGCACUCCGUAAAGAUAUUGCUCGUAAAGUUGAUGAUGAGUUGAUCAUACGAGUUAGGUAAACUUUGAAGUAUAAGCUUUGCACGUUCAAUUUCCUUUAUUUUAUGCCCAACGUCGUAAGUUGUGAAAAUAGAGUUUUAAGAGUGUUGAUAUGGUCGGUCAUCGUUGUGGUUUCCGCCAUUCGAAAAGUAUAGAGUCUCCUCUUCAAGAAGAUAUUGUUGUAUAGUAACUUGGUCUCGUACAGUUUUGUUAGAGUAUCCCAAAUACCCUUCACUGUUUUUUCCUCCACCACACUAGAUAACACCCCAUCUGAGUCCCAGGAGUAGAUCAACAAUUGCAUUGCUGUCAAUUCAUUCCAUUUCUCACCAGUGAUUUUUGCAGGUCUUUCCCUAAUUGCUUUUAGGCAAUUAUUUUUCCUCAAGACUAGGUACUCCAUAAGGAUAUUGUUCGUCAAGUUGAUUAUACGAGUCAGGUAAACUUUGAAGUAGAAGCUCUGCAUGUUCAAUUUCUUUUAUUUUAUGCCAAACAUCGUAAGUUGUGAAAAUAGAGUUUUAAGAGUGUUGAUAUGAUCGGUCGCCAUUGUGGUUUCCCCCUUUCGAAGAGUAUAGAGUCUUCUCUUUAAGAAGAUUUUGUUGUGUAGCGACUUAAUCUCGUACAAUUUUGUAAAAGUAUCACAAAUACCUUUCACUGUCUUUUCCUUUGCUACACUAGAUAACACCCCAUCUGAGUGCCAGGUGUAAAUCAACAAUUGCAUUGUUGUCCAUUCAUUCCACUUGUCACCAGUGAUUUUUUCAGGCCUUAAAAUAAUUGUUCUGCUACACUAGAUAACACCCCAUCUGAGUGCCAGGUGUAAAUCAACAAUUGCAUUGUUGUCCAUUCAUUCCACUUGUCACCAGUGAUUUUUUCAGGCCUUAAAAUACUUGCUUUUAAGCAAUUGUUUUUCCUCAAGAUUGCCCGCAUCUUCAUUUUCCAUAACGAGAAAUUGCUCCCGUUGAACUUUUUAAUUUCAAACUUUGUUGUCAUUUUGGUAAUACCGCACACAAGUUAGUGUACCUCCUUGAAUAGUUAUGAGUAAUCACACAUGUGAAAAUGCACAUCAGGAAAGUUCCUAGGAAAGACUAGAGGGGUCACAACGAUCCCACUUAAAAUCUAAACUCCUUAAACUCGUAUUGCCGUUAUGACAGAACUUUCCUAGAUAUGUACAAGACCACACAAUUACUUUCACUCACAUCACUAUUCCCUGCCUUGCACCAUAGAAUUCUUAGAUCGCUCCCAUCGUUUCGUGUGAAUAGUGCCGUAUACGUGAAUAAUAUUGCAUACGUGAAAUCUGACUGCAAAAGAAUGCAACCAAUGGCUCUGAUACAACUUGUUGGGAAAAUUCAACAGGUGAAGCAGACACGUAACUAAAGUAAAAUUAAAAAAAUAAUGAUCAUACAGGAACACCAGAAUUUACGUAGUUCAGCUUUUAGCCUACAUCCACAUGCGAAGACAGAAGGAAAUAUUUUCCUAGUGAAAAGGAGUUACAAGUAUGAUAGUAUUUUUGUCUCACAACCCAAAACCCUCGUACACCCAAACUCUCAAAAACACUAGAACUAGAGCACAAAGUUCUCAACACUCUCAACUUAUACCUCUUGGCACUCUCACUCGAACUAGAGAAAAUGAGAUAAUUCAAGAGGGCAAAUGAUGCCUCUAUUUAUAGGCCAAGCAAUGCCUAAAAAUGUGGGCAUUAAAAUAAUAUAAAAUUUCUCUCAACCUUCUACUUUGAUGCCAAAGUCAAAAGUUAUAUUCCUCUCACUUACUCAUGUCUCCCUCUUACUCAACAAUUUUAUGAGAAGAGUCAAAAGUUGCAUGCUAACCACAUGCAAUUGUUUGCCACAUACAUGCACAUGUUCAACACUUUUACCUGAGUAAAUAUAAAUUGGUAAUUGACUUUUACAUAAUUCGUUAAGAUUAUUGGCGAAAAGACGGUGUCCCAAGUCCUAAUAUUUAAUUGUACAGUUGAUUGCAGUUUAGCUAUAUACUAAAGGAUGUCAUUUGGUCAAGCUUCAUUCAAAAUUGUGGCCAACAAACUGAGAUCUUAUAUAAAAUAUCAUCAAAUGACACGACGUUGAUCUCCAUUUUUUUAACACAAUAUCACAUAACUAAACAAAAGAAUUCGUACGUAAAUAUCCUUUUGACUUGUUUAUGAUUAAUAUUGAUGAAACACAUUUGACCAACCACAACGUUUGAAAAUAUUCAAUGCAUAAUGGAUAACAUAUGCUUCCAACCACAACAACUAGUUAAUCAGGCACUCAAAUACAAGAAGAAGACAAUCUGAUAAAUUAAUUGAAGUGGAAAAGAUGGGAAUAAGAGAAACGGCAUGUCGCUGUUAACAUCCAUUAGGAAAUGAAAUUCAAUUACGUAUUAGUUUGCUUUCGAGAAGGGAAGCUUAUGUCAUUAGGUGUUUUAUGACAUAUAUGACCCCAAAGUUAUAAAAUAAUGUUAAUUUUUUUUUAUUAUUAACUCAGGCAUACAUUAAAAUUCGAACUCAAGGUUUGAGCCUUAGAAAGGCCGUUCCUUACCAUAGGAACUGGCUUCAAUAAUCUUAAAUAAUUUGCAGAAAAGUAUUGAAUAAAUAAUCAUUCAGAGGUUAUUAUUUUAACCAUUUACCUUCUUUUUUUUCACAGGGCAUAUAUGAAAAGAUAAUGAAUAAUCCCUUAAUAUAACAAUUAAUUGCAAUAUAAUUGCUUAUAUAACAUAUUAUACAAUGAUAUAUAAUCGUUAUGACGUACGUGGAAUUAGCAGAAGUGAGAGGUUGAUGAACUAACAAGACAUAAAUUUCUUACCAAGUACCAACCCAAGCUUAAUUUAUUUAUAUUUUACUAUUUUAGUCAUACCUACCCAAUCUUGAAACCCUCUAUUCUACGCUUCGCCACACCUAUAAAAGCCUCAUAACACAUGAAAUCAAUGCAUAAACACAUUUGAUCCCUUCUCUUUUGAUUGUUAUUACCGCAACACAAUAUAUGUUUCAUCUCUUAUAGCCUUAUUCGGCAAUAGUUCAACCAUGGCAUCCUUCUCUUUCUCAUCCGUUGUGCUACCACUUUUGUUAAUCGCUUUAUCGUCAAUGAGCUUUGACAUUGAUUUGAUCGCUGCUCGCCAUCUUCUAGAGGCAACAGUUCCAGAAAUACCCAAGCCUGUUACCAAAACCUGAACUACCACAAAUUCCAAAGCCUGAAUUACUGAUGGUUGUUGAAACCAACAAAAAUAAAUACUUACUCUAAAUAAAUUGUGUAUAGUGAUUGAGUAGGGUCGUGUCCACAGAGAUCGGUAAUUAUUUAAAUCCUUUUAAAAUAUAAAAUGCAAAAUGGGGGAAUUGUUGACAAUAAAAAAAAUAAAAUUAAAAUAACAAGAACACAAAUUCAAAUUGUAAUUCAAAUUGGGGAAAGCUCUGGUUGAAGGAAUUAACUUAGCUUGAUUUGACUACUGAUCCUUGAUUCAAAUAUAAAUUAUUACUACUUAUGAAUAGACCGGUUAUAGCUACUGAGACCCUCUAAUAGUCAAUCUCUCCUUAACUAGUCGAUAACCAAGGUACGACCGUUGGUUAUUUUCCUAAGCAAUAGACAAUACUACUAGAAAAAUAACCUUUACUGACACUUGUCUUGUGAUACUUUAUUAAAAGUAUCAGUAAUUACAUGCAUUUCGGAUAUUUUCCGUGUUUAACAAAUAAAUAUCACAAAUUUGUGAUACUAUAGUGUCUGUAAAUUAAAUAUCAGAGAUCUGUGACAAUAAGGUAUUAGUAAUUAGAAAAAUAAAAUUUUAAUUUUGUGUCCAUUAGGAAUCGAACUAAAGACCUCUAAACUUUAACUUUUUAAUUUUAAACAUUAACCACUGGGCCAUGAGUUGGAUUUUGAUUUUUGGCUUAAUAAGUAAAUAAUAUUAAAAAUUAAAUUAAAUUACCUAGAUACUAUGUCGUUUUAAUGGAAGGUGUACAUGAAAACCUAAAAUCUAAAAUUUUUAAAAAGUGAAAAAAAAUUCCCCACGGCCGCUUCUUGCUAUGAACUGAAGCUCUCUUCCUUCCUUCUCUCUCUCUCUCUCUCUCUCUCUCUCUCUCUCUCUAUAACAAUGAUCUACCUCAGCCGUCGCCAUCAACCUUCAAAUCGCCAUCCUUGACCUAAAAUACCCUUGAACUAGAAAGUGUUGGGAAGAAUUUGAGCAAAGCUAGGGUUUUUUUGAAAGUUCGAAUCCAAAAAUUAGGGCUUUUUUGUAGGGGGUAUUUCAUUGUUUUUAAUGUUGAGUUCGAAGAGAAUGAUUUUGCCGCCGUUACCGCCUAAGCAGUAUGGAGUGACGAAGCCAAUAUCAAUUGCAGGAUCGAUGGAGGGUGAUAUGCAAAGAACCCAUGAGAAAAGGUUUUGUUUUAUCUUUAUUUAUAAUUACUUUUUUCUUUCUGUAUAGAAAACCCUGAUUUCAAUUUCCUUUAGGGUUAAAGUUUUUGGUUGGAGCUGGGUUUUAUGAAAGCAAAGAAGAAGCGGCAAAGGGAGAAGAGGUUUUGUUUCGAAUUAGACAAGCAAGAGUUUUUUUUAAAAAAAUUAAUUAUUGGUGAUUUUGAAACCUGGGAUGACCUUGUUGUAAUAUUUUUGUUAUCAGUUGGUUCAUUCUUCAUUUUUUAAUUGGGUUACGAAUUGAGUUUGUUUGAAUUGUAUUGGUGAUCUUAGAGGUUUUAUUUUAUUAGAGAAUUUAGUGAUGAACCAGAAAUAACUUCAUCGUCUGGCAAAUUCGUCUUUUGCUUUAUUAUUGCGCUCAUUCGUCUGGCAAAUUCAUGUUCUUUAACUCCCAUUUGAAUUUUUUUUUUUUUUGGUUAGUCAAAUUGAUAUUUACUCAUUCAUUUAAGUUCACACAUUAAUUCUCAACCGUCUUAGUUGGUUAAUUGGAUCCUAUUAAUAGUCUCAGGAUAAUUAUAAGUGACUGGGUUGUGACAUUGAGUUGUGACUCAAAUAUUGUACUGUCCGCUUCAUUCUGCUUUAUGAUGCUUAGUUUAAUAUCUUAGACAAUGGAGGAAUCGAAACUGGAGCAUGGAAUGUAUUUAUUUCCAUAGUUGGGAUCUUGGAGAUGUUUCUUUACAUGUUUGUUCAUUGAGCUAAAAAUUUAAUCUCACUUAGCUGUGACUAAAUUUUUUUUUUACUAUUAUCAAUGCAGGUAAUUAAUUGUUUCUGACAAAAUGAAGCAUAAAGAUAAGAAACCGAUUUCUCCAAAUGGUGAUAAAAGUCCCAGGAUUGUUCCUUUGACAGUAUUGUUUGUUGCACUACGUGGGUUUUCGUUUUACCUUGGUGGAAUCUUUUGUUCUGAGAAAAAUAGAGUCGAGAUUAGGGAUGUCCAGAAAGCAGUCCCGUCUCCCAAGGAUCCAGCGGUUGCUCCGCUUCAGAUCAAAUCUGUUAACUUCCCUGAAUGCAGCAGCAACUAUCAAGACUACACUCCAUGCACAGAUCCAAAGGUAUACCUUAAAUGCUUAUUUGAUAAUAGUAACAGCUUCUAGGCAAUGUUACAAAGCUAUAUGAUAUCAAGUGGCCAUAUUGAUGGCAAACAUUCAUUGCUACAGAGGUGGAAAAAGUACGGUGCUCAUCGGCUGACUUUCAUGGAACGCCACUGUCCUCCAGUUUUUGAGAGGAAGGAAUGCUUAAUACCCCCUCCUAAUGGGUAUAAGCCACCUAUCAAGUGGCCAAAAAGCAGGGAUGAAUGUUGGUACAGGUAUUAUGAUCUAUUAAUGAACUGGUUUUAUUGUCCACUGAUGUUGGCCGUAAGUCAAUUUUGUUCUAUUAUUUGGAUCUAGUUUCAGGAAUGUGCCUUAUGAUUGGAUUAACAAGCAGAAGUCAAAUCAGAAUUGGCUGAGAAAACAAGGAGAGAAGUUCCUCUUUCCUGGUGGAGGUACAAUGUUUCCCAAAGGAGUUGGUGCAUAUGUUGAUUUGAUGCGAGAUCUGAUUCCAGAAAUGAAAGAUGGGAUAGUUCGAACUGCUAUUGACACUGGAUGUGGGGUGAGUUUUGUUUUCCAUUUGCCCACUUUUUCAUCUAAUCAUAUACUGGGCUAAUCUAUGUUGCAUUGAUGGUUUAUUCUUAUGGUGCCUCUUGGUCAUCUUAGGAUAAAUUUAACUCACUUACAUUUUUUUUUAUAGGUUGCUAGCUGGGGAGGUGAUUUAUUAGAUCGUGGAAUUUUAACGGUUUCUCUUGCACCAAGAGAUAAUCAUGAAGCUCAAGUUCAAUUUGCAUUGGAACGUGGAAUUCCCGCAAUUCUUGGCAUCAUUUCCACACAGUGCCUACCUUUCCCCUCAAAUUCAUUUGAUAUGGCUCAUUGCUCAAGAUGCCUUAUCCCGUGGACAGAAUUCGGUAAUUAGUCAUAUACUAUGAAGAUAUUUUCUAGAGAAGUAUCAUUAUCAAAUUGAUUGGAUAAUAGCAGUUAAGAUUAUUCAAUUAUAAGAAUAACUUGUCUUGUAAUCAGACGUCUUUGUGUAUUGAAGUAUUUGGAUUGUGUAAUAUAUAUUGAUAAUAUUUAAAUGUUACGAAAGGUUUUGAUAUAUAAAUUGAUUUUUGUUCUUAUUUCUCACAGCCUUUUAAUUCUAUCAACAAAUCAAUGGGCAACAUGUCAUUUUAUAUAAUUAUUUUUUAAAAUAAUAAAUAAAGUAGUGAUACUAUAGUAACAGUAAUCACAAAUACUAAUAUAGUAUUGUAAUAUUUUGAUACCAUGGUGUUAUUAUUUUAGUGAUACUAUAGUAAUAGUAAUCACUGACACCACUUACAAGUGUCACUAUUUUUCUGACUCCCAGAUUGCUGACACAAUUAAUAAGUGUCAGUAAAAGUAAUUUCUGACACUAUUCUAAAGUCAGUAAAGACCAUUUUUCUAGUAGUGCAACCCUAGAUACGAUCAUAGGAUUUAAUCAAUUGACAGCCUGAAAAACCAGAGAGACCCAAAUCCUAAUCAACAAACGCAUACGAUGGUUCAUUUAAAUUAGAUUGUUUAUUCUCAUAACACAACGCACUGCUAUGCUAUUUGUCACAAACAUUAAAGUUUUCAUACGAUGAAUCAUUUAAUUGACAAUAGAUUAAGUUGAUAAUUAAAUAGUGGCCAAUUAUCUAAUUAACAAACAUAAUCAUGACAAUAAUUCAGAGAAUAAAUAAAUACCCAAAAAGUAAUAAAACAAUUAAAGCAUAAGAAAGAUCUCACAAUAAUGAUGAAUCAAAGCUUCAUUAACCUUAAACCAGAAUAAUAAAUUUAGUUCUUCAUAGAAAAUUUUAGAUUUAGGGUUUCUUUUUCUUCAAAAAUCUCCCAUUUUUUCUAGUAGAUUCCUCUCUUAAAUUCUUUCCUCUCUCUUCUCGUCUAGAGUUCUUUUUAAAAUAAAAUACUAAUAUCUAAAAUAUUAUCUAAAUAUUAAAUUCGUAAUUACAAAAAUAACCAAAAAGAUAAAACACAUUAAACUAAAAACUACAGGUCCGUAGUUGACAGCACGUGCCCACGCCUUAUCAACAAAGUUCUUCUGAAGCUAAAUUUUAGCACCAAUCAAUAGAAUUGCACCUACAGAAAUAAAACACAAGUAAAUCACUAUUAUUAAGUGCAAAACAUCAAUAUUAAAGGAAGUAAACAAUGCAAAACUAGUGCAUAAAUUGCACUCUAACAAUUACUUGAGAUUCCAAAGCCUGAGCUACCUAAAAAACCUGAAUUACCAGAGAUUCCAAAGCCAGAACUACCGAAGAAACCUGAAUUACCUGAGAUUCCAAAGCCUGAGUUGCCAAAAGAACCUGAAUUGCCAGAUAUUUUGAAACCUGAGGUGCCAAAAGAGCUUGAGUAC
rnacentral:lncRNA from 1 species